AACUCAGUAGUCAUGGAGUUGGACUUGUGGUCGAUGACCUUUGACCAUUUCCCAGUCCAUGAUGUGACUGGUUUUGGCCAGCCAUUGGCCGUCACCUGGCAACAACGAUUUUCUGUGUUUUGAUUCGGCGACUACCUCUGAUCCUAACAGCCUGUAGGCUUCACCACAGGCUCAAACUCAUCAUGCUGCUAAGAGUGGGGUGUGACUAAAAAAGGAGGAAAUGUGCUGGAUGUGAUGAAGACAUAGAUCCUGGCGAGGAACGAGGUGAAUGUCCCCUGCCUGAGCAGCUUCAUCUCAACAUCUAUCAGG